UAAACAUGCCUCGCAGGCAUAAAACAGCAGGGAAUUAGCAUGUGAGGCUGAUAAAUAUGCAUGUAAAUAAGCUCCCAAAGGAAUAACAUGGGUUUGAUCUGUUUUUUUUUUUUGUUGUUGUUGUUGUUGUUGUUGGGUUUUUUGUAUGUCACUUGUAAGAUUAAUUGAAUUGUCUACAGGCUGGUUGGCCCUCACAUAUAAGACAUGGUGGAGCAUGUGAGUGAGAGGCUAUGCAUCUGGGGCUAGAGAUGGGCUAGGAGUCUGGGAAAUCUCUGUUAUAAAAUGAUGUAUGCUUAUAUGACAUUUCUUUUGGAAAUGAAGAUGUGACAUAGCAAUUAACUUUGACUCUAAGUAUAUUUCAUAUCCCCUUUCCGUAUUUUUUCAGCUCCUAAUAAUAUAAUCUCUGUUUCUUUAUUUCAUACUGUUUUGUUAAUCUUUAACUAAAGUGUACCUUUUUUUUUUCUUUUUUGGUUACACCCACAUAUAUCUUUUUAAUAAUUUUUUUUUCCUCUUCUUAAUGCCUGUGCUUUUUCUGACCCUUCCAAAUUGGCAUUCAUAAACUAUCCUGGAACUGAAUUAGAAAGUGCAUGCUUAAAUGCAAAUCGAAUGUCAGUGGGUCUCUGGUUUUGGGCCCAUGGCUCAGCAACUAGAUGACUUUGGGGACUGUUAAUUCCCUCCUUUAGUCUCCGAUCAUUUCAGGUAAGUGGAAGAAGAAAUGUGACUUUGGAUUUCCUGGUACAGACUUGUAAGCAUUAUUGCUGUGGAUGGUUCAGAGAUUUGCUACCUAAGGCAUUAUGGGAUCAGAUAGUGCUCAUGUCUAUACAAGAGGUGUUUUGCUGUCUUCCUCUACUAAUAAAUUAGUGAACAUGAGGCAGCAUUAGCUUAAUACCAUGAAAGUGCCUGUGGUUUGAAAGGAAUCAUGUUUUGGGUUGGUGAGAUGGCUGAAUUCUCUACGGCCUACAUCCAUCAUUCUGCAGAUCAGGGUUGUUGAUCUGAAACUAGGCCUUUUGAGUUUUGAAGCUGUAUUCUAGGUACUUGGGAUACCUCAGUGAACAAAGCAAAGAAAGAUCCUUGUCCUCAUAGAGUUUACAUUCCAGCACAGUGAGACAGUAAAUAACAAGUGUAAUAAAGAAUUAGGAUGAUGCCUUAGAAAGUGAGCAUUGCUUUGGGGAAAAAAAAGGAAAUAAAGAUUGCAGUUUAAGGGGAUUGAUAAUGUAUGUAUGAUUUAGGAGGUUGCAGAGUUAAAUGUCAGGGUAGAUCUUAUUUCAGAAGAAAAAAAACUGAGCUAAGACUUGAAGUAAAUGGUGAAGUGAGCCACAUGACUGUUGGGGGCAGGGGCUUUCCAGGCUAAGGGAAUAGCAAGUACAGAAGUGCUGGAGAAGGAGUUGCCAAGCAUGUUCUGUGAGUCCAGUGGACAGAAAGGCAUGUAAAUUAAUGUAAGACUUCUCCUCUCCAGCCCUCGGCGGAUGUUAGACUCCUCAGUUUUGCCUAAGUGACUGUAUGCUUGGUCCAGGUUGACUGAAAUGCCGUCUGUAGUGGUCUUACAGCUGGAUGCCUCUGAUCUUUUGGUCGUUCUUCUCUUCAGACUUUUUUCAUUUUGGCACUUUAUUUACUCUGUCCUGUUUAUUCAAAAUGUAUACUUCUCUUCCAACAUUUUUUUCUUGAUUUAGUCUCUGUCUUCACCUUAACACAGAUUGAGGAGUUCCCUUUAUGGCUCAGUGGUUAACGAACCCGACUAGGAUCCAUGAGAAUGUGGGUUCGAUCCUUGGCCUUGCUCAGUGGGUUAAGGAUCCAGUGUUGCCGUGAGCUGUGGUGUAGGUCAUAGACUCGGCUUGGAUGCUGCAUUGCUGUAACUGUGGUGUAGGCCGGCAGCUGUAGCUCCGAUUCGACGUCUAGCCUGGGAACCUCCAU
rnacentral:lncRNA from 1 species